rnacentral:rRNA from 1 species
UACAGAGGUCUCAAGCGUUGUUCGGAUUCAUUGGGCGUAAAGGGUGCGUAGGUGGCGCGUUAAGUCAGGUGUGAAAUUUCGGAGCUUAACUCCGAAACUGCAUUUGAUACUGGCGUGCUUGAGGACUGGAGAGGAGACUGGAAUUCAUGGUGUAGCAGUGAAAUGCGUAGAGAUCAUGAGGAAGACCAGUGGCGAAGGCGGGUCUCUGGACAGUUCCUGACGCUGAGGCACGAAGGUCAGGGGAGCAAACGGG